rnacentral:rRNA from 1 species
GACGAACGCUGGCGGCGUGCCUAAUACAUGCAAGUAGAACGCUGAAGGAGGAGCUUGCUUCCCUUGAUGAUUUCCGAACGGGUGAGUAACGCGUAGGUAACCUCCCUGUUAGCGGGGGAUAACUAUUGGAAACGAUAGCUCAUAUCGCAUAAUAGCAGUUGUUGCAUGACAACUGUUUGAAAAGUGCAAUUGCACCACUACCAGAUGGACCCGCGUUGUAUUAGCUAGUUGGUGGGGUAACGGCUUACCAAGGCGACGAUGCAUAGCCGACCUGAGAGGGUGAUCGGCCACACUGGGACUGAGACACGGCCCAGACUCCUACGGGAGGCAGCAGUAGGGAAUCUUCGGCAAUGGACGGAAGUCUGACGGAGCAACGCCGCGUGAGUGAAGAAGGUCUUCGGAUCGUAAAGCUCUGUUGUAAGAGAAGAACGAGUGUGAAAGUAGAAAGUCACGUCUGUGACGGUAUCUUACAGAAAAGGGCGGCUAACUUCCGG